UCAGUGGCCUAGGCUGUAUUCAGUGGGGGUGGGGCGGAGGGGAGGAAUUUCAAGGUCCUGGGCGCAUAAAUGAGAACACAGGAAUGAAUCGAAACUGGCGUGAGCGCUGGAGACUUCCCGCUCUGUAAUGGGAGACAGAUUAAAUCAUACAUGGAAAGGGCCCAGGUCCGGUUGGACCUUGAAGCACGGCCAAGAGCACUCCAAGCAGAGGGAAAGGUCUAGACGGUCUCGCAUUCCGAGUUCCCCCGGGGUGGAAGGCCUCAUCCCUGUGGCCAUUUUCUCAGCACUUGUGCCAGGUGGAACUGUUUCCAGGCUGCCACAGGCUGGUUGAAAACACCAGUCACUUAAGUCGAGAGCCCUGUAUAAUGAUUCUCCAGAGACUGUGAGUGUUUCCCAAAGACACACAUGGCAGUCAGGCCGUCUGCAUUCUGUUAGUCAGUGUCCCUCUUUAGCAUCUUCAUCUCAGAUGCAGAAAAUGAGUCCAAAAGAGAAGGUUCUUAUAGAAGUCCACUAGCCAGGAAGCAGCAGGGCCUGGAUUCAAAUGCAGGCCCGUCUCACCACAGAGAAGCCCACAUUUUUCCCCCUGACAACCGGCAGCCUGCCUAGUGGUAUUCCCCUCAGCAUAAAAGCUCAAGAUGGGUCCACAGUCUGGUGUUGAUGUACAUUGUAGGGCUUCCUUGGUGAACCAUAAUGAAGAAGUGGGUAAACGCUGGUGACGUUUGUUGUAAGUGGAUGGGGCAAGAGGGAGAGGACAGUGGCGGGCAGCUACAGCAAGGAAUGUUGGGGAAGAGGAGUCCCUGGCAGGAGCAGCUGUGAUACUGUGAUUUUUUUUUUAAGAUUUUAUUUUAUUUUAAGAUUUCUAGUUAUUUAUUGGUCAGAGAGAGAGCAGAAGCACCGAGAGCUACAGGCAGAACAGGCAGAGCAGGCAGAGGGAGAAGCAGGCUCCCUGUUGAGCAAGGAGCCCCACGUGGCCCUUGAUCCCAGGACCCUGGGAUCAUGACCUGAGCCGAAGGCCCUUAACUGACUGAGCCACGGAGGCGUCCGGAUACUGUGAUUUGUUUCAUGUAUUUGGUAUGCAUCCCAUCUCUGGCUCAUAGUACCUAAAACCAUUGGAAUUUUCUGUGGUGAGAGCGGUAGCUGUGUCUUUUGUGAUGUUAAUGAGGUGGCUUUUGGAAAGUACCUAGGUAACCGAGGGCUGGGGGCUGAUUGCCAGGGACCCAACCUUGUGAUUAGAGAUUAGAAUAUCCGGUCUGACCCUUGGCCUUUUGGGGGCAGGGAGAGGGGUGUUGGAGGUUGAAUCAGUUGCCAGUGGCCAGUGAUUUCAUUAAUGAUGACCAUGUAAAUGAAGCCUCCAUCAAAGGACAACCACCCCCACCCCCCGCCAAAACCAACAAGGACAGGAUUGUGAGAGCUUGCAGGUUGGUGGACACGUGGAGAUGUGGGGAGAGUGGUGCCCCUGGAGAGGGCGUGGUAGCUUCCACCCUUCCCCAUACCUUGCCUGGGUGUCUCUUCCCUCUGGCUCUUCCUAAGUUUUAUCCUGGCUUAUAAUAAUUAUUAAUAUAUGAUAUAUGAGGAAUCCGGUAAGUAAAAUGUUUCUCUGAGUUCUGAGAGCUGCUGUAGCAAAUUAAUUCAACCCAAGGGGGCAUUUGUUGGAACCUGCGAUCUGUAGCUGGUUGGUCAGAAGCACAGGUGUCAACCUGGACUUGCCACUGGCGUCUGAAGAUUCAAGGGGGUGCAGUCCUGUAGGACUGAGCUCUUCACCUGUGGACUUGAACUCUGUCUCCAUGUGGACAGUGUAGAACUGAGUUGAAGUGUAGGACACCCAGCCGACGGCUGAGAAUUGCUUGGUGUGUGAGGGGGAAACCCACACACUAGAAUUGGGUGCAGAAUCAUUAGCAGCCAGGAUGGGGUUGGGGGAGACUGGAAGAGGGGUGGGGCUGGACCCUAAACAGCCUGAGACCUGUGGGUAUAACACCAUGCGAUACUAUUCGGCAGUGAAAAAGUGACCAGCCUGGAUGGAGCUGGUGGCCACUGUGCGGAGCCCAAGAAGCCAGUACACACCAGCAUGUAGAGCAGGGUUCAGAGUUGGGCACAAGAGGUCAGGA